CGGAAGGAUUGCCUAGUUUUGGAAUCAGCUUAUUUUUUUUCCAUGAAGGGUUUUGUUUUGAGUGUUGGAAUGAAAGUUGUACUCGAUAGUUCACCAGCCUAGUGGGCUGAUGCUAAGAAAAUCCUCACCCAGACAUGUUCAUUCAUUGUGCUUGCAUAAAUAUAAUUCAUGGUUGUGGUUAAAAAAAAAAUAAGCUGAUUCCAAAACUAGG
rnacentral:misc_RNA from 1 species